rnacentral:pre_miRNA from 1 species
UCUUAUGGAUGAACAAAGAAAGUGGUUUCUUGAGAUGGACCUUACUCUUGGUGAAGAUGCUGUGGU